rnacentral:rRNA from 1 species
CCAAUAGCGUAUAUUAAAGUUGUUGCAGUUAAAAAGCUCGUAGUUGAAUUUCGGGAUUGACACAUCGGUCGUGCCUUAAGGGGUAUGAACUGGUGUAGUCAGUUUCUCACCUUCUGGAGAACUGCGAUGCCCUUAAUUGGGUGUCACGGGGAACCAGGACCUUUACUUUGAAAAAAUUAGAGUGUUUAAAGCAGGCAUUUUGCUUGAAUACAUUAGCAUGGAAUAAUAAAAUAGGACGGCAUGAUUCUAUUUUGUUGGUUUCUAGGAUCACCGUAAUGAUUAAUAGGGAUAGUUGGGGGCAUUAGUAUUCAAUUGUCAGAGGUGAAAUUCUUGGAUUUAUUGAAGACUAACUACUGCGAAAGCAUUUGCCAAGGAUGUUUUCAUUAAUCAAGAACGAAAGUUAGGGGAUCGAAGACGAUCAAAUACCGUCGUAGUCUUAACCAUAAACUAUGCCGACUAGGAAUCAGACGAUGUUAAUUUUUUAAUGACUCGUUUGGCACCUUACG